rnacentral:rRNA from 1 species
AUUGAACGCUGGCGGCAGGCCUAACACAUGCAAGUCGAGCGAGUGGCGGACGGGUGAGUAAUGUCUGGGAAACUGCCUGAUGGAGGAGGAAUACGACUGGAAACGGUAGCUAAUACCGCAUACCAUCGGAUGUGCCCAGAUGGGAUUGGGUAGUAGGUGGGGUAACGGCUCACCUUGGCGACGAUCCCUAGCUGGUCUGAGAGGAUGACCAGCCACACUGGAACUGAGACACGGUCCAGACUCCUACGGGAGGCAGCAGUAGGGAAUAUUGCACAAUGGGCGCAAGCCUGAUGCAGCCAUGCCGCGUGUAUGAAGAAGGCCUUCGGGUUGUAAAGUACUUUCAGCAGGGAGGCGUUACCCGCAGAAGAAGCACCGGCUAACUCCGUGCCAGCAGCCGCGGUAAUAC